UGUGUGGGGAAAAACUUAUGACCAGGAAUAAGAUAAGGGUUUCUGAGAAUCUGAACAAACAGGUUACUACCUGGAAAUAGACACGGUUAGACCAACGGCCACAAACCAUAAAAAUUCUUUACAUUCCUUCCUCAUUCUUUCCCCAACUGCCUCCCCCCACCUCAUGUGUAUAUAUUCUUACCCUGCGCCUGCAAUAAACGAGCCUUGACACUAUUAGACUGACUCUGUCUUUCUUGCGUGCUUGGUCUCCCCUCUCUCCCCCUAUGGUCUUUUAGGAGGCUGCUUCACGGACCCCACGGUUGUAUCCGGCUGGACCCAGAUAUCUGGCGCCCAAUGUGGGGCCCCGAAGAAGACGGCUUACUGGACGACUGAGGAACAGAUUCCACGGACAAAGGAAGGGUAGAGGCUGAACGGACAGCCUUGAGGCAGGAGUUAUCAGAGUAAGAGAGUAUGACUGUUUUGGCUGCCAGAAGGAAUUGAAAUGAUGCAGAAGAAGUCAAAAAAGAUUAUCUCCUCCACCAAAGCCGUAUGACCAUAAGGAAAAUGAAGAGACCAUAUUUGGGGACAACUCAUGACCAGGAACAAGAUAAAGAUCUUUUGGAAUCUGAACAAACAAGUUACCUCCUGAAAACUGGCGUCAUUAAGACCAACGGCCACAAACCAUAACAAUUCUUCACGUUACCUCCUGGUACAAACCGUCCUUAAUCACCACCCCCCCCCCACCUCAAGGAUAUAUAUUCUUGCCCUGCACCUGCAAUAAAUGAGCCUUGACACUAUCAGACAGACUCUGUCUCUCUCUUGCGUGCUUGGUCUCCCCUCUCUCCCCCUAUGGUCUUUUUAGGUGGCUGCUUCACGGACCCCACCGUUGCAUCCGGCCGGCUCCGGAUAUAGAUGGUGCCCAACGUGUUGGGGUUUGAGUAAGACAGCUUACCGGAUGACUGAGAAACAAAUUCCGCGGACAAAGUAACGGUAGAGGCUGAACGGACAGCCUUGAGAUAAGGGUAAGUCGUCCCAUCCCCCAUAGGCAUAAAAAAUUGAGAGUGAUUACCCCAGAGUGACUGUGUGUGACUGUGUGUAUGAUUGCAGAGAGGAGAGGAAAACUCAGUCCACGAUUCGCAUACGAGUAACAGGGCGAUCUCCUGAUGGGGGUUUAAACCAUCCGCCUAAGCUCAAGCGACGUGGUCCAUCCCGUUCUGGGGUGAGUGG